AAUGGUUCCAAAUUGUGACCAAUCCCAUAAAUUUUGUUCACACAGUGUCCAAAUAUGGCUCAAGCGACUAAUCAAACACAAGUGCCUCUGCUGUGCACUACUGGAUGUGGAUUUUAUGAGAAUCCUCGGGCAAAUUGGAAUGUGUUCUGUCUGGUAUAAGGAACACCUACAAAGACAACAAAAUGGUGGUCGAAUGAAUCCUAUAGACUUUGGACAUUAGACUUUAGAGAUACAGCGUGGAAAGAGGCCCUUCGGCCCACCGAGUCAAUGGUGGCCUCCAAUCAUCUACUCUAACACUAUCCUAAAAACUAGAGGCAAUUUAUAAUUUACCGAAACCAUUUAACCUACAAACCUGCACGUUUUUGAAGUGUGGGAGGAAACUGGAGCACCCGGAGAAAAUCCACACGGUCACAGGGAGAACGAACAAACUCCGUACAGACAGCCCCCCGUGUACGGGAUCGAUCCUGGGUCUCUGGCGCUGUAAGGCAGCAACUCUACCGCUGCGCCACAUUCAGCCCCAUUUGACAGUGUGGGAGUCAGGAUGUCAAAUGGUAUUAAGGAAAGAAAUGCAAUUUCAGAUGGAAUGUCUUUGGCGUGAUUUAAAGAUUUUGUCGAGAUAUAA